AUGGAUGGAGAUAUCUAUAAAUACAUACAUUUAUAAAUAUAUACUAUAGAUAUGUGUUUCUUAGUUUCUAGUUUUAAACUCUUUACUCCUAGCCCUCGAUAUUUCAAUCAAUAAUUCUGAGAGAAAAAGAAAUUUGGAAUACAACGUACAAAUAAUUACCCUUGGUUUCCAUGUUCCAUUCUUGAAAAUCCUUGGUGAAUCUGCCUGUUAUCCAACCACACAGUGUGUGAAAGAAUAAAACCAGUCUGGACCACUUCCUUCAUAGUAAGGCCCCAAACACAAAAACUUUCAGGGAUGGGCCCCAACCUCUGUUGUGGUGUCACCAUGAUGUCACCUCAAGUUUUUGUAACCAAGGUGAUUGCAUAUUUGUGCAUUUUGGGCUACUAGUUAGGGACCCCAGGGGCCUAUGACAAUUAAAAGAUACCUAUUACAUUAUAGAAUUAGAGAAUCUAGAAGGUACAACAUAAGACAUGACCCUGUAAAGUCACUGAUCCUCUUCAAAAUGAAGGAUGAACAUGAUCAUUUUUGCCUGAAUCUUUCUAAUGGGAAGAUACUAACCCUCAUGAGGCAGCCCUUUCCAUUUCCAUUUUUGAUCUGAAAAAAAGUACCCAUAACAAGAGGUAGUUCUGGGAAAAUGGGUUAAUGUGUCUGAGUCUAUAAUCUUCACACCUAAAGUCCACAUGGAUAUCUUGAAAAUAACCUCUGUAUCUUCAAAGUUGUGUCAUCACCAUCACAGAUUUCCUCUGCAUGUACACGGUCUGGUUCCUGUUUUCAUUUCUUUAAUGCUCUUUCCACUUCCUCAUACAGCAAAUCUGAGGAUCAAAGUAUUAAAGUCCAGAUGUGGUUGUUCCAUUUUCAUCUGUUCCAUUUUAUAUAUAUUGUCCUUUUACUUUCUUGUGUAAAUGCUCUUGAGAUUAUUUUUAUUAGCUGAGUUUAUGCCAAGCUUUCUGCAGAUCUACUUUUAAUAAUCUUUUAUCAGUUUCCUCUGUAACAUUUUGAAAAUGAGUU
rnacentral:lncRNA from 1 species